GAGAACGCUGGCGGCGUGCCUAACACAUGCAAGUCGUGCGGUCUCGCCUUAAGCGAAAGGCCUUCGGGCUUUGAAGCAAAGGCGAGAUAGCGGCGGACGGGUGAGUAACGCGUGGCUUAUCUGUCCCAGGGAGGGGGAUAACGUCUGGAAACGGGCGCUAAUACCCCAUAUGCCGAAAGGUAAAAAGGAGAGAUCCGCCCUGGGGUGAGGCCGCGUCCUAUCAGCUCGUUGGUGAGGUAACGGCCCACCAAGGCUAUGACGGGUAGCCGGCCUGAGAGGGCGGCUGGCCACACUGGGAUUGAGAUACGGCCCAGACUCCUACGGGAGGCAGCAGUGGGGAAUAUUGGGCAAUGGGGGAAACCCUGACCCAGCGACGCCGCGUGGAGGAAGGAGCCCUUCGGGGUGUAAACUCCUGUUGUAAGGGAAGAAGACAGUGACGGUACCUUACGAGGAAGCCCCGGCAAACUACGUG
rnacentral:rRNA from 1 species